GACGAACCGUGCGAACGUUAUUCGGAAUCACUGGGCUUAAAGCGCGUGUAGGCGGGCCGGCACGUCGACGGCUGAAAGCCCCCGGCUCAACCGGGGAAGGGGCCUCGAUACGACCGGCCUGGAGGGGGGUAGGGGGAGCCGGAACUCACGGUGGAGCGGUGAAAUGCGUUGAGAUCGUGAGGAACGCCCGCGGCGAAAGCGGGCUCCUGGGCCCCGCCUGACGCUGACGACGCGGAAAGCCAGGGGAGAGCCGGAACGGGGAUUAAGAUGACCCCAGUAGUCCCC
rnacentral:rRNA from 1 species